rnacentral:rRNA from 1 species
CACGUAGGGCGCAAGCGUUGUCCGGAAUUAUUGGGCGUAAAGUGCUCGUAGGCGGUCUGUUGCGUCUGCUGUGAAAACUCGGGGCUUAACCCCGAGCCUGCAGUGGAUACGGGCAGACUAGAGGUAGGUAGGGGAGAAUGGAAUUCCCGGUGUAGCGGUGAAAUGCGCAGAUAUCGGGAGGAACACCGGUGGCGAAGGCGGGAUCCUGGGCCAGUACUGACGCUGAGGAGCGAAAGCGUGGGGAGCAAACAGG